AGAAGGCCUUCGGGUCGUAAGCCCUUUCGGACGGGACGAACGCUCCGCGGUGACAACCCGCGGAGCCUGACGGUACCGUAAGAAGAAGCACCGGCUAACUCCGUGCCAGCAGCCGCGGUAAUACGGAGGGUGCAAGCGUUGUUCGGAAUUACUGGGCGUAAAGCGCGUGUAGGCGGCCUUGCAAGCCAGACGUGAAAGCCCUCGGCUUAACCGGGGAAGUGCGUCUGGAACUGCUCGGCUCGAGUACGGGAGAGGGAGGCGGAAUUCCCAGUGUAGAGGUGAAAUUCGUAGAUAUUGGGAGGAACACCGGUGGCGAAAGCGGCCUCCUGGACCGAUACUGACGCUGAGACGCGAAAGCGUGGGGAGCAAACAGGAUUAGAUACCCUGGUAGUCCACGCUGUAAACGAUGGGCACUAGGUGUUCGGGGUAUUGACCCCCCGGGUGCCGCAGCUAACGCAUUAAGUGCCCCGCCUGGGGACUACGGCCGCAAGGUUAAAACUUAAAGGAAUUGACGG
rnacentral:rRNA from 1 species